UACAGAGGGGGCAAGCGUUGUUCGGAAUUACUGGGCGUAAAGGGCGCGUAGGCGGCCUUCUAAGUCGAACGUGAAAUCCCCGGGCUCAACCCGGGAACUGCGUCCGAUACUGGAAGGCUUGAAUCCGGGAGAGGGAUGCGGAAUUCCAGGUGUAGCGGUGAAAUGCGUAGAUAUCUGGAGGAACACCGGUGGCGAAGGCGACAUCCUGGACCGGCAUUGACGCUGAGGCGCGAAAGCCAGGGGAGCAAACGGG
rnacentral:rRNA from 1 species